CAAGAAGUAGUUUAAUAAGAAUAUCAGCUUUGGGUGCUGAUGGUGGGGAGACUUCCUUCUUCUUGA
rnacentral:tRNA from 1 species